UUACCAAUCAGCAGUCGAUCGUUGAACCAUCGGUAGUUAAUCAUUAGGCAAUCGGCCUGACCAUUGUUAGUCGGUAGAAUGGUUAAAAGCCGAUAGAUAUUCGGUGUUGUUGUCGCUAAGUAAUUGGUGUGUUGAGUCAUUGACUUCCUUGACCAUUCGGUUGGACAUCGAUCGGCGACACGUAGUCGGGUGCCAUUGU
rnacentral:lncRNA from 1 species